rnacentral:rRNA from 1 species
GGGUUGUGAGGUUAAGCGACUAAGCGUACACGGUGGAUGCCCUGGCAGUCAGAGGCGAUGAAGGGCGUGCUAAUCUGCGAUAAGCGCCGGUAAGGUGAUAUGAACCGUUAUAACCGGCGAUACCCGAAUGGGGAAACCCAGUGUGUUUCGACACACUAUCAUUAACUGAAUCCAUAGGUUAAUGAGGCGAACCGGGGGAACUGAAACAUCUAAGUACCCCGAGGAAAAGAAAUCAACCGAGAUUCCCCCAGUAGCGGCGAGCGAACGGGGAGGAGCCCAGAGUCUGAAUCAGCAUGUGUGUUAGUGGAAGCGUCUGGAAAGGCGCGCGAUACAGGGUGACAGCCCCGUACACAAAAGCGCAUGUGCUGUGAGCUCGAUGAGUAGGGCGGGACACGUGGUAUCCUGUCUGAAUAUGGGGGGACCAUCCUCCAAGGCUAAAUACUCCUGACUGACCGAUAGUGAACCAGUACCGUGAGGGAAAGGCGAAAAGAACCCCGGCGAGGGGAGUGAAAAAGAACCUGAAACCGUGUACGUACAAGCAGUGGGAGCCCCACCACUAAGCCAGUGGUGAACUCCACAUACGCAUCCUUUGCUGAGGAUACGGUUAACGGAGCGAAAGCGACGUUCAACCGCAAAAGAAGCAGAGGGGGCUUAGUGGUGGGGUGACUGCGUACCUUUUGUAUAAUGGGUCAGCGACUUAUAUUCUGUAGCAAGGUUAACCGUAUAGGGGAGCCGGAGGGAAACCGAGUCUUAACCGGGCGUUAAGUUGCAGGGUAUAGACCCGAAACCCGGUGAUCUAGCCAUGGGCAGGUUGAAGGUUGGGUAACACUAACUGGAGGACCGAACCGACUAAUGUUGAAAAAUUAGCGGAUGACCUGUGGCUGGGGGUGAAAGGCCAAUCAAACCGGGAGAUAGCUGGUUCUCCCCGAAAGCUAUUUAGGUAGCGCCUCGUGAACUCAUCUCCGGGGGUAGAGCACUGUUUCGGCUAGGGGGCCAUCCCGGCUUACCAACCCGAUGCAAACUGCGAAUACCGGAGAAUGUUAUCACGGGAGACACACGGCGGGUGCUAACGUCCGUCGUGAAGAGGGAAACAACCCAGACCGCCAGCUAAGGUCCCAAAGUUAUGGUUAAGUGGGAAACGAUGUGGGAAGGCCCAGACAGCCAGGAUGUUGGCUUAGAAGCAGCCAUCAUUUAAAGAAAGCGUAAUAGCUCACUGGUCGAGUCGGCCUGCGCGGAAGAUGUAACGGGGCUAAACCAUGCACCGAAGCUGCGGCAGCGACACUGUG